rnacentral:rRNA from 1 species
UACGGGGGGGGCAAGCGUUGUUCGGAAUUACUGGGCGUAAAGGGCUCGUAGGCGGCCCUCUAAGUCAGACGUGAAAUCCCUCGGCUUAACCGGGGAACUGCGUCUGAUACUGGAGGGCUUGAGUUUGGGAGAGGGAUGCGGAAUUCCAGGUGUAGCGGUGAAAUGCGUAGAUAUCUGGAGGAACACCGGUGGCGAAGGCGGCAUCCUGGACCGGCAUUGACGCUGAGGCGCGAAAGCCAGGGGAGCAAACGGG